UGGGCGUUAAGUUGCAGGGUAUAGACCCGAAACCCGGUGAUCUAGCCAUGGGCAGGUUGAAGGUUGGGUAACACUAACUGGAGGACCGAACCGACUAAUGUUGAAAAAUUAGCGGAUGACCUGUGGCUGGGGGUGAAAGGCCAAUCAAACCGGGAGAUAGCUGGUUCUCCCCGAAAGCUAUUUAGGUAGCGCCUCGUGAAUUCAUCUCCGGGGGUAGAGCACUGUUUCGGCUAGGGGGCCAUCCCGGCUUACCAACCCGAUGCAAACUGCGAAUACCGGAGAAUGUUAUCACGGGAGACACACGGCGGGUGCUAACGUCCGUCGUGAAGAGGGAAACAACCCAGACCGCCAGCUAAGGUCCCAAAGUCAUGGUUAAGUGGGAAACGAUGUGGGAAGGCCCAGACAGCCAGGAUGUUGGCUUAGAAGCAGCCAUCAUUUAAAGAAAGCGUAAUAGCUCACUGGUCGAGUCGGCCUGCGCGGAAGAUGUAACGGGGCUAAACCAUGCACCGAAGCUGCGGCAGCGAACGUAUCACCCAAGACAACUUUACGGAGUUGACGAUUGACGGAGCGAAGCGACGUCAAAGCGUUCAUUAAAGUCGAGUUGGCUUAGGGAUACGUUCGUUGGGUAGGGGAGCGUUCUGUAAGCCUGUGAAGGUGUGUCGUGAGGCAUGCUGGAGGUAUCAGAAGUGCGAAUGCUGACAUAAGUAACGAUAAAGCGGGUGAAAAGCCCGCUCGCCGGAAGACCAAGGGUUCCUGUCCAACGUUAAUCGGGGCAGGGUGAGUCGACCCCUAAGGCGAGGCCGAAAGGCGUAGUCGAUGGGAAACGGGUUAAUAUUCCCGUACUUGGUGUUACUGCGAAGGGGGGACGGAGAAGGCUAUGUUGGCCGGGCGACGGUUGUCCCGGUUUAAGCGUGUAGGUGUGUGUUCCAGGUAAAUCCGGUU
rnacentral:rRNA from 3 species